UGGUAUUUGUAGGAGACUUUGGGGAUACUUGGGAUACUUUCUGAGGGAUUAAGGAAGGUAGAGGCUGCCUUUUUAUACAGUGUGGCUGUAAUUCAGACUUACAUAUUUUGCUUAAGGCUGAAAGUAAAAAAGUAGAGGCAGAGUUACUAAGGAAAAGCAAAGGAGGAAGAGCACUUGAUAACAAAAAUAAUUUUUGGGGAAUGAUAUAUGGAGCUUGUAAUUUAAAAAGCAUGAUUUGUGAAUGAGCCAUUUCAAGAGGGGAGGGGAAUCCAUUUCAAGGUGCAGGGGAAUGCAAAACAAACUAGAUCAUGCACUAUAAUACAUGCACUUCAAAUUCUGUUUUUCUAGAGUUGCUUUCUUCUGACUAAGUUCAAAAACUACAGUGUUUUUCCUGUGAAGACUUCAUUAUAUAUGACAAUGUAAUUCAUCAAAGAUUCCAGUGACUAGAAUGAAAAUGCAGACCAUCAGUGCAGAGCAAGUGCAUGAAGAUCUCUGAUGCACAGCAGAGCAAGUUUUGCAGAAGUCCUUAUGAAUGAUACAUCUCGUAUGGGAGAGAAAAGAAAAAAAGGAAAUGGCCUCCCCAAAUCAAAACAUCAAUAGUUUCAUCCUCUGAUCUGAAACAAUUUCUACAGGGACAAGCUGUCUCAUAAGGAAAAACUGUUCCUUCUGGCCUGAAACCAAUGGAGAUGGAAAGGGACUGGGGCCAAGAAAGUGGAUAAAGAAGCCUGAGAACAAAGCAGAAAUGAUACAAGUGCCAGCUAGGCUUGAAUAACUA
rnacentral:lncRNA from 1 species